CAAACAAGAAAUUCUUUAGUAAGGAAUUCUGUUGAUCCCAGAGAAGGUGUUAGGCACCCUCGGAUCCCGUGGUUCUAGCACAGUCGCUUAAACUAUUAUAAGUGAAUAAUUUUCUGAUUUUUAUACAUGUUCAUCCUACAAUGCAAUUUUAAAAUUAUUGACCGCUUUAUAUCACUUUUUAGGAAUAUUUGUAACGUUAUUAAAAUAUGUCUUGAACAGCGUCACACAAAUGCACCCGCGGUCUUUGAAAUAUUUUAACAUUGUUGAGAUUUGGAUUUGGG
rnacentral:lncRNA from 1 species